AGAAGGGAGCUUGCUCCCGGAUGUUAGCGGCGGACGGGUGAGUAACACGUGGGUAACCUGCCUGUAAGACUGGGAUAACUCCGGGAAACCGGAGCUAAUACCGGAUAGUUCCUUGAACCGCAUGGUUCAAGGAUGAAAGACGGUUUCGGCUGUCACUUACAGAUGGACCCGCGGCGCAUUAGCUAGUUGGUGAGGUAACGGCUCACCAAGGCGACGAUGCGUAGCCGACCUGAGAGGGUGAUCGGCCACACUGGGACUGAGACACGGCCCAGACUCCUACGGGAGGCAGCAGUAGGGAAUCUUCCGCAAUGGACGAAAGUCUGACGGAGCAACGCCGCGUGAGUGAUGAAGGUUUUCGGAUCGUAAAGCUCUGUUGUUAGGGAAGAACAAGUGCAAGAGUAACUGCUUGCACCUUGACGGUACCUAACCAGAAAGCCACGGCUAACUACGUGCCAGCAGCCGCGGUAAUACGUAGGUGGCAAGCGUUGUCCGGAAUUAUUGGGCGUAAAGGGCUCGCAGGCGGUUUCUUAAGUCUGAUGUGAAAGCCCCCGGCUCAACCGGGGAGGGUCAUUGGAAACUGGGAAACUUGAGUGCAGAAGAGGAGAGUGGAAUUCCACGUGUAGCGGUGAAAUGCGUAGAGAUGUGGAGGAACACCAGUGGCGAAGGCGACUCUCUGGUCUGUAA
rnacentral:rRNA from 1 species